AAAGCUCUGUUAGUUAAAGAAGAACACGUAUGAGAGUAACUGUUCAUACGUUGACGGUUAUUAACCAGAAAGUCACGGCUAACUACGUGCCAGCAGCCGCGGUAAUACGUAGGUGGCAAGCGUUAUCCGGAUUUAUUGGGCGUAAAGAGAGUGCAGGCGGUUUUCUAAGUCUGAUGUGAACGCCUUCGGCUUAACCGGAGAAGUGCAUCGGAAACUGGAUAACUUGAGUGCAGAAGAGGGUAGUGGAACUCCAUGUGUAGCGGUGGAAUGCGUAGAUAUAUGGAAGAACACCAGUGGCGAAGGCGGCUACCUGGUCUGCAACUGACGCUGAGACUCGAAAGCAUGGGUAGCGAACAGGAUUAGAUACCCUGGUAG
rnacentral:rRNA from 1 species